CCUACGGGAGGCAGCAGUGAGGAAUAUUGGUCAAUGGACGAGAGUCUGAACCAGCCAAGUAGCGUGAAGGAUGACUGCCCUAUGGGUUGUAAACUUCUUUUAAGGGGGAAGAGCAGAAGACGGUACCCCUUGAAUAAGCCACGGCUAACUACGUGCCAGCAGCCGCGGUAAUACGGAAGGUCCGGGCGUUAUCCGGAUUUAUUGGGUUUAAAGGGAGCGUAGGCCGCAUGUCAAGCGUGCUGUGAAAUGUCCGGGCUCAACCCGGGCCUUGCAGCGCGAACUGGCGUGCUUGAGUCCGCGGAAAGCAGGCGGAAUUCGUCGUGUAGCGGUGAAAUGCUUAGAUAUGACGAAGAACCCCGAUUGCGAAGGCAGCUUGCUGCAGCGGAACUGACGCUGAUGCUCGAAAGCGCGGGUAUCGAACAGGAUUAGAUACCCCUGUAGUC
rnacentral:rRNA from 1 species